GACGAACCGUGCGAACGUUGUUCGGAUUCACUGGGCUUAAAGGGCGCGUAGGCGGCUCCUCAAGUCGGGGGUGAAAUCCUCUCGCUUAACGAGAGAAUUGCCUCCGAUACUGGGGAGCUGGAGGGGGGUAGGGGUGCGCGGAACUUCCGGUGGAGCGGUGAAAUGCGUAGAUAUCGGAAGGAACGCCGGUGGCGAAAGCGGCGCACUGGAUCCCCACUGACGCUGAGGCGCGAAAGCCAGGGGAGCAAACGGG
rnacentral:rRNA from 1 species